GACCCUGUGAGGUAGUGGUCAAGCCUAGCGUAUGAUAUCGUCUAUAAUCCGCGACGCUGGUUCGAAUCCAGCCGGGGUCA